rnacentral:rRNA from 1 species
UACAGAGGUCUCAAGCGUUGUUCGGAUUCAUUGGGCGUAAAGGGUGCGUAGGUGGCGGGGUAAGUCAGGUGUGAAAUCUCGAGGCUCAACCUCGAAGCUGCACUUGAUACUGCCUUGCUCGAGUACUGGAGAGGAGAUUGGAAUUUACGGUGUAGCAGUGAAAUGCGUAGAUAUCGUAAGGAAGACCAGUGGCGAAGGCGAAUCUCUGGACAGUUACUGACACUGAGGCACGAAGGCCAGGUGAGCAAACGGG